UACAGAGGGGGCAAGCGUUGUUCGGAAUUACUGGGCGUAAAGGGCGCGUAGGUGGCCUGCUAAGUCGAACGUGAAAUCCCUGGGCUCAACCCAGGAACUGCGUCCGAUACUGGUUGGCUUGAAUCCGGGAGAGGGAUGUGGAAUUCCAGGUUUAGCGGUGAAAUGCGUAGAUAUCUGGAGGAACACCGGUGGCGAAGGCGACAUCCUGGACCGGUAUUGACGCUGAGGCGCGAAAGCCAGGGGAGCAAACAGG
rnacentral:rRNA from 1 species